rnacentral:rRNA from 1 species
GAUGAACGCUAGCGGGAGGCCUAACACAUGCAAGCCGAGCGGUAUUGUUUCUUCGGCAAUGAGAGAGCGGCGUACGGGUGCGUAACACGUGUGCAACCUGCCUUUAUCUGGGGGAUAGCCUUUCGAAAGGAAGAUUAAUACUCCAUAAUAUAUUGAACGGCAUCGUUUAAUAUUGAAAGCUCCGGCGGAUAGAGAUGGGCACGCGCAAGAUUAGCUAGUUGGUGAGGUAACGGCUCACCAAGGCGAUGAUCUUUAGGGGGCCUGAGAGGGUGAUCCCCCACACUGGUACUGAGACACGGACCAGACUCCUACGGGAGGCAGCAGUGAGGAAUAUUGGUCAAUGGGUGCAAGCCUGAACCAGCCAUCCCGCGUAAAGGACGACUGCCCUAUGGGUUGUAAACUUCUUUUGUAUAGGGAUAAACCUACCCUCGAGAGGGUAGCUGAAGGUACUAUACGAAUAAGCACCGGCUAACUCCGUG